rnacentral:rRNA from 1 species
CACGUAGGGGGCAAGCGUUGUCCGGAUUUAUUGGGCGUAAAGAGCUCGUAGGCGGUUUCGUAAGUCAGGUGUGAAAACUCUAGGCUCAACCUAGAGACGCCACCCGAUACUGCGAUGACUAGAGUCCGGUAGGGGAGUGUGGAAUUCCUGGUGUAGCGGUGAAAUGCGCAGAUAUCAGGAGGAACACCAACGGCGAAGGCAGCACUCUGGGCCGGAACUGACGCUGAGGAGCGAAAGCGUGGGUAGCGAACAGG